rnacentral:rRNA from 1 species
AGAUUAAGUUAUUAAGGGCGCACGGUGGAUGCCUUGGCACUAGAAGCCGACGAAGGACGUUACUAACGACGAUAUGCUUUGGGUAGCUGUAAGUAAGCGUUGAUCCAGAGAUUUCCGAAUGGGGGAACCCAGCACGAGUUAUGUCGUGUUAUCGACAAGUGAAUUCAUAGCUUGUCAGAAGGCAGACCCGGAGAACUGAAACAUCUUAGUACCCGGAGGAAGAGAAAGAAAAAUCGAUUCCCUGAGUAGCGGCGAGCGAAACGGGAAGAGCCCAAACCAAUAAGCUUGCUUAUUGGGGUUGUAGGACACUCUAUACGGAGUUACAAAGGAAUAUAUUAGACGAAUCAUCUGGAAAGUUGAAUCAAAGAAGGUAAUAAUCCUGUAGUUGAAAAUAUAUUCUCUCUUGAGUGGAUCCUGAGUACGACGGAGCACGUGAAAUUCCGUCGGAAUCUGGGAGGACCAUCUCCUAAGGCUAAAUACUCUCUAGUGACCGAUAGUGAACCAGUACCGUGAGGGAAAGGUGAAAAGUACCCCGGAAGGGGAGUGAAAGAGAACUUGAAACCGUGUGCUUACAAGUAGUCAGAGCCCGUUAAUGGGUGAUGGCGUGCCUUUUGUAGAAUGAACCGGCGAGUUACGAUCUGAUGCAAGGUUAAGCAGGAGAUGUGGAGCCGUAGCGAAAGCGAGUCUGAAUAGGGCGUUGAGUAUUUGGUCGUAGACCCGAAACCAGGUGAUCUACCCAUGGUCAGGUUGAAGUUCAGGUAACACUGAAUGGAGGACCGAACCGACUUACGUUGAAAAGUGAGCGGAUGAACUGUGGGUAGCGGAGAAAUUCCAAUCGAACUUGGAGAUAGCUGGUUCUCUCCGAAAUAGCUUUAGGGCUAGCCUCAAGUGAUGAUUAUUGGAGGUAGAGCACUGUUUGGACGAGGGGCCCCUCUCGGGUUACCGAAUUCAGACAAACUCCGAAUGCCAAUUAAUUUAACUUGGGAGUCAGAACAUGGGUGAUAAGGUCCGUGUUCGAAAGGGAAACAGCCCAGACCACCAGCUAAGGUCCCAAAAUAUAUGUUAAGUGGAAAAGGAUGUGGCGUUGCCCAGACAACUAGGAUGUUGGCUUAGAAGCAGCCAUCAUUUAAAGAGUGCGUAAUAGCUCACUAGUCGAGUGACACUGCGCCGAAAAUGUACCGGGGCUAAACAUAUUACCGAAGCUGUGGAUUGUCCGUAGGACAAUGGUAGGAGAGCGUUCUAAGGGCGUUGAAGCAUGAUCGCAAGGACAUGUGGAGCGCUUAGAAGUGAGAAUGCCGGUGUGAGUAGCGAAAGACGGGUGAGAAUCCCGUCCACCGAUUGACUAAGGUUUCCAGAGGAAGGCUCGUCCGCUCUGGGUUAGUCGGGUCCUAAGCUGAGGCCGACAGGCGUAGGCGAUGGAUAACAGGUUGAUAUUCCUGUACCACCUAGCAUCGUUUUAAUCGAUGGGGGGACGCAGUAGGAUAGGCGAAGCGUACGAUUG